rnacentral:rRNA from 1 species
UACGGGGGGGGCAAGCGUUGUUCGGAAUUACUGGGCGUAAAGGGCUCGUAGGCGGCCAACUGAGUCAGACGUGAAAUCCCUCGGCUUAACCGGGGAACUGCGUCUGAUACUGGAUGGCUUGAGUUCGGGAGAGGGAUGCGGAAUUCCAGGUGUAGCGGUGAAAUGCGUAGAUAUCUGGAGGAACACCGGUGGCGAAGGCGGCAUCCUGGACCGACACUGACGCUGAGGAGCGAAAGCCAGGGGAGCAAACGGG